rnacentral:lncRNA from 1 species
GUCACCCUACCUUCCAUCUUUACUCAUCUCUUUCACAUUGAAAUCUCCAGACUCCAGGUGUUGUCGUACCAGACCUUAGUUGUUUGAGAUAGUCUCAAUUUUGGGAAUCUCCUUCCCCACUAUUUCAAGGUAGUUGAAAGCUUUAUCAAGUUGAAUUUAUGGGAUUGUUUAUUUAGAUGUAAUUUUUACCCCAAAUUUGUCUUUAUCUAUUGGAUAUUGAUUUUUAUGUUUAAAUAUGUAAAAUUUAUUACCCAGUUCUUAAUGAUUUUUAUUCAAUCACUUGUUUAAAUAUGUAACAACCGGGGAAUUUGGGGAUAAAGCUUUCCAAACAAAAAGCGUAAAUUUGUGGUCCUAAAUCCAUUGCUAAGGAAAUGACAUUUGUUGGUGAAGUGACCGACUUCUUUAAGAAUUUCAGUGCAGAGAUUUUAAAAGUUGAUUAAAUUCUUAUGUAUUUGUUAGGUUGAUGAGAGUGGAGGUAGUUUCUAUGGAGUAUCUUUGGCUUAAAGCUUAAUUUCCUUGAUAAACUUUAUAUUUAUCUAGUCUAAUUUGUGGAUAUAUAUGUAGCAAAAGUUCUUUAUUAGACAAGGAUUCCUCUAAAUUAUUGUAGGUGCUUGUGGGUUCGGAAGACCUUUGAAGUGGAAAAGAAUUAGUUUUCCAUAUUCUUCAUUCACUAUUGAGUAGAUAAAGAAUGCAAACACCAAAAUCAAGGUGAUUGUCCCUCAUGAGUUUAUAUUCUAUUCGUGGUAUUGCACUAGAGGAAAUCUUUGAAAUUCCCUUCCUCCCUCCUUAAAUAUUUCUCUUAACCAUAUUCAUUACCAAGUUCUCAAUUAAUUUCUCAAUAGAUUGAAGUAAUUUGAAGGAGUGUGUGACUACUCCAAUUUUACCCAUUUUAAUUUAGGUUUGAAUUAAUUUUUUGUAAUUUCAGUUUGUGUGAAACUUCAUUGUCAGAAUAACUUACCUAACUGAAACUUGAUUUCUAUGAUGUCCUAAUAUAAUUGUUUUUCACUUCAUUUUUAUUGUGUUUUAACAAUUAUAACUUAAUAGUGUUGAUAUAUAUUGUAUUAUCACAGAUAAAAUUGGACACACUUAUGAACGUUAUCUUGUCGUCUUAAAUUUAGAAUAUUUUAAAAUAUGUUUUUUAGAUGAUUUAUUUAGACUUUUUUUUAUAGAGUUUCAGAGGCAAAUCGAUGUGGUGCAAGCCAAUGCGGAGAAUCCAAAAAAAGGUCAUAUGUCCUCGCAAAUGUUGCAAAAGCCGAUUCCACCAACUCUUUGAUAUAAUGUAUGGACAUUUGAUCAUUAAUGGUGUGGAUCCUACAUAUACUAUCUGGGUCUUUCAUGGUAAAAAUCGAAUGCAGGAUCAUUACCUCCUUAAAAUGUAGAAAAUUUAGAAACUUAUAGGAUGUAUAACGAUGCUUUUUUUUAGGAUGACAACAUUGUAGAACCCGAGAAUGAAAAUAGAGAGAGAAUUUUCAAAGUUAUAUGACGGCAUCGGAGUUUCUUUCUAUCUUGGUUGUACAAAGUAUACAAGCAUAUUUGCAAUUGUUAUCAUAUACAAGCUUAAAGCUACACAUGGUACAUCGGACACUGAUUUCAAUGAACUUCUUGAUAUUAUCCGAGAUAUGCUAUCACAUGGGAACAUCCUUCCCAAUUCUUGCAAUUCAAUGAAAAUGUUAUUGAAC